rnacentral:rRNA from 1 species
CUUGAAAACACCGGUUCUCGUUCGAUCACCGAAGUUAAGCAUCGUAAGCCAGGUCAGUACUUAGAUGGGGACCGCUUGGGAACACCUGGUACUGUAAG